UGAAGAAAGAGAAAAGGCAGAAAUUCCUCAAAAAUAUCCUGCUUUGGAGACGCAGUUCCAAAGCUCAGGUCCUCUCAAAGUCAUUUAAAAAUAGCAUGCUAUAUGGGCUUAACCACAGCUCUGCUGGCGUCUGUGGCAUGCGUGUGGUUCUCUUUCUGAAAUCAUGCCACUCUAGAUAUGUUAAUAUGAAAGAUGACAUUGGGUGACACUUACCGACAUGCUGAGCUGCAGACCUACGUGCUGGUGUCUAUGUUUGUGAAGUUCUUCUUUUGAACACUUAACAGUGAUGAAGGAAAAAGGCUUCUUGCUGAUGCAAAGGUUGUCCUUAAACAUCUUUCCUCCUGACGAACACACAGCUUCCACAUUGUCUUUCUCACUGAAGGGAAAGAAUGACUGAAUCGUUCUGUUCCAGGUGUUGAUUCUAUUAAUAAACUUCUUCCAGUUUUCUUUUUUCAGAUCGGUUGGUGUGUCAUUGCGUACAUGCCUUUUAAGGAAAGUGUUGUAACUAAACUUGUUUUCUGCUUUAGUGCAGGGUCGAGGUGGGUGCAGCAUGUCUGGUUCACUCACACAGGCGUGGAGUGUGAGAGUCAAGAUGACCAAGAAUGACAGCAAGUGUGAAAAGAAGCUUAGCCACAUCCUUCUGGACAAACGGCAAACAUUAUUUUCCCACAGCACACCUACCUAUAUAAACCCGAACCUGAGUCAAAGCACUGACAAACAUCUGACCGGACACAAGGACGUUUCAAAUUAUGAUCCUAAAAAUGCUGUCAUUUGUGAUCAUCUUGACUGUGGUGCUCCACACUAGUCUGAGUGAGCUGGACAUGUGGUACCCAUCUAAGCCCUGCACUGAAGCAGAGAACCAGAAUGCGUAUGACACUUUUCUGAAGCGCCACCUACGUAAGGACGCACCAAAUGAUCCGCGCAAACUAAGAGAAUGGCAGAAGUUCAUUACCAAAAUCAACACCUGGAACAGGCCGAUUCAGUCAUUCUUUCCCUUCAGAGAAGCAAGAAAGGUGUUAGCUGUGUGUUCGUCAGGAGGAAAAAUGUAUGAAGGGAACCUCUGCAUCAGCAAGAACCGUUUCACCUUCUUCACUGCUGAGAUCACAGAUAAGAAGCAAGUCAAGAGAGUCAAGGUUCAGGAAAAACAUGUUAUUAUUGGCUGUGGUAAAAUUCAAAAUAAAUGUCUACCUAUUCAUUUUGAGGCAAAUGUAAAUGAUGAUUUACCAGAUAAUAACAAACCUGACUGCAGCAGAGAAAUGGCAAAUUCAACCUUUACUACUUUUGAGGAGCUGUUUCACAUCUAGACGCAUGACCUGCAGAAUUCAGGUCUCUGGUGUGACUUUGUAGCAUUGUUCUUUUAUUUCUUUGUAACCAAUGUUGAAACUACAGUAAUGCAAGGAUGUCUGCUGACAUAUAGAAUGCAUUCUGUAUGUAUACACACAAACACCUAUAUUGCUUUCUAUGCUGUUGCUUCAUUAUUUCUUUCAUUUAAAUAAAAAUUGAAAUGC